rnacentral:rRNA from 1 species
UACGUAGGGGGCAAGCGUUGUCCGGAUUUAUUGGGCGUAAAGAGCGUGUAGGCGGCCAGACAGGUCUGCUGUGAAAACUCGAGGCUCAACCUCGAGACGCCGGUGGAAACCGUCUGGCUAGAGUCCGGAAGAGGAGAGUGGAAUUCCUGGUGUAGCGGUGAAAUGCGCAGAUAUCGGAAGGAACGCCGGUGGCGAAAGCGACGUGCUGGACCUCUUCUGACGCUGAGGCGCGAAAGCCAGGGGAGCAAACGGG